rnacentral:tRNA from 1 species
GCUUGCAUAGUUUAGCGGUAGAACAACGGUCUCCAAAACGCGUCGAUGUAGGUUCAAUUCCUACUCCGCU